rnacentral:lncRNA from 1 species
UCCACCUCUGGGGCCUGAAUAUGUGUGCACGCUGAAUUCUGCUACCACUGGAUCCCGCUUUUGGUUCCUGCUCGUUGUCCAGCUAUGUGUGGGAUAGAAUCACAUCUGAGAAGCAGGCUUUACCCACCUGUGGCAACCCGAGUCGUGUACAUCCUGGCACUGCUGGCUAGAACCUGCAGAGCUGUCUUCACCUGAUGACACACACCUGUUCUUGGCACCAUUAGGCCCCACAAAGAAACCAGAAAAUAAAGCUGUCAACAACAAACUCUCUUCCAGCAAGAUGGAAGUGCAUAAACCUCAGAGAUGUUCGAAGGCCUUUCUUCUUUUCUUGCUGGGAAAAGCUCUCCUCUCACCAGGAAGGUUGUGGAUGGUGCCAAUCGGGAGUGAUGAUCAUCACAGAUGGGCAGGCCUUGAACCUCCACAUCUGGAGGUCAAACUGGACCAAAGGUCGAGGAGCCAGGAGGCACACAGGCUCCCAAAUGAGCUUGGACAUGAGCACCAGGCCCUAGAAAUUUCUAGACAAUCACUAGAAGGUAGGGGCCAGAAGAGUCAUACAAAUGGAUUAUCAGAGGGAUCCCUGGGUGGCGCAGCGGUUUGGCGCCUGCCUUUGGCCCAGGGCGCGAUCCUGGAGACCCGGGAUCAAAUCCCACAUCAGGGGAUCCCUGGGUGGCGCAGCGGUUUGGCGCCUGCCUUUGGCCCAGGGCGCGAUCCUGGAGACCCGGGAUCGAAUCCCACAUGGGGCUCCCGGUGCAUGGAGCCUGCUUCUCCCUCUGCCUGUGUCUCUGCGCCUCUCUCUCUCUCUGUGACUAUCAUAAAUAAAUAA